AGUGGAAUUCCACGUGUAGCGGUGAAAUGCGUAGAGAUGUGGAGGAACACCAGUGGCGAAGGCGACUCUCUGGUCUGUAACUGACGCUGAGGAGCGAAAGCGUGGGGAGCGAACAGGAUUAGAUACCCUGGUAGUCCACGCCGUAAACGAUGAGUGCUAAGUGUUAGGGGGUUUCCGCCCCUUAGUGCUGCAGCUAACGCAUUAAGCACUCCGCCUGGGGAGUACGGUCGCAAGACUGAAACUCAAAGGAAUUGACGGGGGCCCGCACAAGCGGUGGAGCAUGUGGUUUAAUUCGAAGCAACGCGAAGAACCUUACCAGGUCUUGACAUCCUCUGACAAUCCUAGAGAUAGGACGUCCCCUUCGGGGGCAGAGUGACAGGUGGUGCAUGGUUGUCGUCAGCUCGUGUCGUGAGAUGUUGGGUUAAGUCCCGCAACGAGCGCAACCCUUGAUCUUAGUUGCCAGCAUUCAGUUGGGCACUCUAAGGUGACUGCCGGUGACAAACCGGAGGAAGGUGGGGAUGACGUCAAAUCAUCAUGCCCCUUAUGACCUGGGCUACACACGUGCUACAAUGGACAGAACAUAGGGCAGCGAAACCGCGAGGUUAAGCCAAUCCCACAAAUCUGUUCUCAGUUCGGAUCGCAGUCUGCUACUCGACUGCGUGAAGCUGGAAUCGCUAGUAAUCGCGGAUC
rnacentral:rRNA from 1 species